AAGUCGUAACAAGGUCUCCGUUGGUGAACCAGCGGAAGGAUCAUUAACACGAACUAUUUUACCCCAACAUCAACCAAACGUGAACCUUAAAAUUCUCCCUAUAUUCUAUUAUAGAGAUAUAAUUGGAAUCUAGGCUAACAGUUCUUUUUCUCUCGAGAAAGAGGGCAACUCUUUAAACUUUUCAACCACUUGUAAACUUAACUUCCAGUUUGCGGCCGAAAGGCGGAACUCAUACUAACACUAAGUAAUCAAUUGGAACGUGCACAGCGCGUUUCUUUUUUGUUUACUUUGAUCUUAUGAAAUAUAAGAACAACUCUUAACAAUGGAUAUCUUGGUUCUC
rnacentral:misc_RNA from 1 species